rnacentral:rRNA from 1 species
UACGUAGGUGGCAAGCGUUGUCCGGAAUUAUUGGGCGUAAAGCGCGCGCAGGCGGCUUCUUAAGUCUGAUGUGAAAUCUCGGGGCUCAACCCCGAGCGGCCAUUGGAAACUGGGAAGCUUGAGUACAGAAGAGGAGAGUGGAAUUCCACGUGUAGCGGUGAAAUGCGUAGAUAUGUGGAGGAACACCAGUGGCGAAGGCGACUCUCUGGUCUGUAACUGACGCUGAGGCGCGAAAGCGUGGGGAGCAAGCAGG